GGAAGGGGGAACAAGCCCUGAAGGAUGGGUAGAGUCAACAGUAAGAUCCCCAAGAGAUGGCUCAGAAUCCCUGGCUGAGGAAGACAGAGGGAGACUCCUGUCAGUAAGUCCAGGAAGAAGGUUGGUGUCUGCCCCUGGAGAGGAGAGGCCUACAGUCUGAGCUGGUUCCUGGGAAGGGACUAGGAAGAGGAAAAGGGUGCUGGUGAAGAGAAGGAGAGACCCUGAAAAGAGACUAGCGCUCUAAGGAGGAGUAACAGAACAAGAGACUGAACCCCAGUGUGGGCAAGGGCCCAGCAGUUCCUACCCUUUUGGACUUCUUGUGCAUGCACUGCACAGCAUGAUGGACGGAAAUCCCAUUGUUUAGGCUGUAACCUGAACUUACGGGCCAGUCCUAGGGCAGUCUGACAACAUUUCCGAUGGCAUAGAAUCAUGGGGCUGGGAAGACCCUCACAAGAUCAUCUAGUCCAUCCCUUUGUGCUGAGGCAGAACCAAGGACACGGAGACCGUACCUGGAAGUAUUGCUGGUGAACCAGUUAUUCCCAAUUUUGUAUUUGUACACGGGAAAUAUCACCUCUGGAGUGUACCGAUAUAUCAGCAAAGCGUGCAGAAGCUCAAUGUCAAGUCAGAUGAUUAAAGCAGACUCCACACAAGAAUGGCACUGCAUGAACGUGGAAGGUUCUCACUAAUCAUUCUAGGUCACUCUGCAUUUUGGUUCUGUCUUCCUGUGUGUUUGCUAUCCUGUCACUGUCUGAAAGUUUGAUCAACAGUUGAAUUUACACCAAAAAGACACCCCACACAGAAAAACAGGCGAUGAAGCAGGGAUGGCUUGAGUUCAGCUGGUCAAACAACCCAAAACAGCAUCUGGAAACCUGAAGAGAAUCUUUAACUGAGCUCCAACUAGCUGCAAGAGUCACAGCUUGAAGACUGACAGAUGCUUCACUAUUGUGACAGGAGCAGCUCAGCCAAUUACAGCUUGAGACCCACUGUGGUCACUGAUUCAACAAAAUUGUUUGCCUGGGAUAUUUGAGCUAACCACCUGCAUGCCUAUGCACGAUGUAGAUCUUGCCUGUCUGUAUACUGCUGUAGCACUAAGGAUUAGAGGCGGACUCAAAGCAAACACCUGGAUCUAAGCAUGCCUGAAGCUGAAGGCGAGCUGUGGAGUUCAGGUCUGGGUCUAUCUUAUAACCGGAUGAUCCAAACACUCUCAAACUUUGGGGAAGUGGAUGCCAAUCUGAACAUUGUGGUCUUCUGUAAUAAUGGAUUUUUUUUUUAAAGGCAUGUCCCUAGGUGUGCGCAUGGCAAUGCUGAAAAGAGGUUGAAAAGUGUGCUACCGUGUUUAUCACAGCCACAUCCUGCUGUCAGCUCCUGAAACCAAGGCAGACCUGUGUGUUUGAUUGUUUUUCACUGUGGGGUUCAAUCGUAUUUAACAAGAAAAAAGAGGAACAGCCUGUGUGGGAGCAAAUGACGCUCUGAAGUGUGUGCUGCUGUUACAGCUCAGUUUCUGAGGUUUGCUUACCUGAGAUAGAUAGAAUGUGCUUUGGGACCAAUCCUGCUCUCCC